GAUUAAGAAAUAAUAAUUUGUAUUCAAUUUCGACUUGAAAGUUUAGUUUUAACACUCUUAAUUA
rnacentral:tRNA from 1 species